AUUGAACGCUGGCGGCAGGCCUAACACAUGCAAGUCGAGCGAGCGGCGGACGGGUGAGUAAUGUCUGGGAAACUGCCUGAUGGAGGGGGAUAACUAAUGGAAACGGUAACUAAUACCGCAUCCCAUCAGAUGUGCCCAGCUGGUAUGAGCUAGUAGGUGGGGUAACGGCUCACCUAGGCGACGAUCCCUAGCGGGUCUGAGAGGAUGACAAGCCACACUUGAACUGAGACACUGUCCAGACUCCUACGGGAGGCAGCAGUGGGGAAUAUUGCACAAUGGGCGCAAGCCGGAUGCAGCCAUGCCGCGUGUGUGAAGAAGGCCGUCGGGUUGUAAAGCACUUUCAGCGGGGAGGCGUUACCCGCAUAAGAAGCACCGGCUAACUCCGUGCCAGCAGCCGCGGUAAUAC
rnacentral:rRNA from 1 species